AGCGAACGCUGGCGGCAGGCCUAAUACAUGCAAGUCGAGCGCACCUUCGGGUGAGCGGCGGACGGGUGAGUAACGCGUGGGUACGUGCCCUUUGGUACGGGAUAACUGAGGGAAACUUCAGCUAAUACCGUAUGUGCCCUACGGGGGAAAGAUUUAUCGCCAUUGGAGCGGCCCGCGUUGGAUUAGGUAGUUGGUGAGGUAAAGGCUCACCAAGCCUACGAUCCAUAGCUGGUCUGAGAGGAUGAUCAGCCACACUGGGAUUGAGACACGGCCCAGACUCCUACGGGAGGCGGCAGUAGGGAAUCUUGCGCAAUGGGCGAAAGCCUGACGCAGCCAUGCCGCGUGAAUGAUGAAGGUCUUAGGAUUGUAAAAUUCUUUCACCGGGGAAGAUAAUGACGGUACCCGGAGAAGAAGCCCCGGCUAACUUCGUGCCAGCAGCCGCAGUAACAC
rnacentral:rRNA from 1 species